CCUACGGGGAGCAGCAGUGAGGAAUAUUGGUCAAUGGACGAGAGUCUGAACCAGCCAAGUAGCGUGAAGGAUGACUGCCCUAUGGGUUGUAAACUUCUUUUAUAUGGGAAUAAAAUGUUCCACGUGUGGGAUUUUGUAUGUACCAUAUGAAUAAGGAUCGGCUAACUCCGUGCCAGCAGCCGCGGUAAUACGGAGGAUCCGAGCGUUAUCCGGAUUUAUUGGGUUUAAAGGGAGCGUAGGUGGAUUGUUAAGUCAGUUGUGAAAGUUUGCGGCUCAACCGUAAAAUUGCAGUUGAAACUGGCAGUCUUGAGUACAGUAGAGGUGGGCGGAAUUCGUGGUGUAGCGGUGAAAUGCUUAGAUAUCACGAAGAACUCCGAUUGCGAAGGCAGUUCACUGGACUGCAACUGACACUGAGGCUCGAAAGUGUGGGUAUCAAACAGGAUUAGAUACCCGAGUAGU
rnacentral:rRNA from 1 species